UGCGCAGGCGGGUUAAUAAGUCAGUGGUGAAAUAUUACCGCUUAACGGUAAAAUUGCCAUUGAAACUGUUAAUCUUGAGUACAGUUGAGGUGGGCGGAAUGUGUAAUGUAGCGGUGAAAUGCUUAGAUAUUACACAGAACGCCAAUUGCGAAGGCAGCUCACUAAGCUGUUACUGACGCUCAGGCACGAAAGCGUGGGUAGCGAACAGGAUUAGAUACCCUGGUAGUCC
rnacentral:rRNA from 1 species